rnacentral:lncRNA from 1 species
CCGGAGGCCCCUCUUCCUCAUAGCCCUGCUCCAAGGACUGCUCAUCCACAGACCAUAGUUGCUUCUCUCAGAGACUCAGCUUACUCCGGCAAAUAAAAUAAAUCCGAGCUGGGGCUUUAAUUUAGAGCGCUUAAUUUGAUGGAGUCAAUGUGCCAGUUUGAGGAGUCAAUAUCAAUGGAUGCAUAUUGUCCUAUGUAUAUCUCUCGGUCAGCAAUGUCUCCAAGCUUUCUGCUAUAUUGCCAAAAAGCUGGGCGUCAGAUAUGCAACUUGUAACUUCCUGCAGCAGUCAACAUGACUUUUAUAUUCCAUUCUGGUAAGUGAUGAUAGAUAAAACGAUUUUUGCAUGUCAUCUGUCGAAAGCCAUCUUUGGCCUGAAAAAAUUUUGGAUUUCUCUACUGUAUCACUUUCGUUUGUUUGUGGUAAAUAUUGUCCAAUCAUAAACUAACUAGGGUCAAAAAAUAUGUCUCACGAUUUACAGUCAAACUGUGUGAUUAGUUUUUGUUUUCGUCUAUAUUUAAUGCUUCAUAUAUGUGUCGCAAGAUUCGAUGUGACAGGAAAUCUUGAAAACUUUUUGGAUUUUAUGUGAAGUAAACAAGGCCUUUCAUUAUUUGGAAACGACAUUGAUGAGUUACACAUAUUGGUACGAACUGAAGCAACUACACACUAAAGGAAACAACCUAACCUACCUACCAACCAGAAGAAAUUAACACCGAAAGACAAAGGAACAGAGCGAGAAAAAUUCAGCAUUUUCCAAACUGAAAAAUUAAUCUAGUAUCUAAUAAUAACAAAUCCAAAAUGUAUGCACACAAAACCGUACCAGACUACCAGAGCUAAAUUAAAUAAGCUGAUACAUACAAAGAGAGAGAGAGAGAGAAAAGAGAGAGAGAACUAAUUAACUAUUACACGGCUAAUUUUCUGCAAAUUCGCAAAAAGGCAUCACCUUUGGAGCGAGCGAGGUUUUCCUACUCCAAACUGCAUUUUCCUGCUGAUUCCUGGAUGAUAAUAAUGCCCGCUGUAUUACAAGUUGUGUAGCGGGUUGGACCCGGUCGGGGAGAACCUCUUGUCGUCCCUGAAGUCGCCGCCGAACCGCCGCUGGGUGAAGCCGCCGGAGAGGUGGCCGCGGCUCAAAACGCUCCCGCCGUUGUCGGAGCUGGAGCUGGAGCUGGACGGCUGCUCGGGCGAUGCUGCAGGAAUGACGUUGCCCAGAAGCGAGACUCCCCUGAGCACGAGAGGGAUGAGGGAUACCAGCAGGAGGAUCUUGAAGCACUUCAUCUUGUCUAGUGGCCGUACCCUGGUAGAGCUAGAGCUUGACUACUACUCCUAGGAAGAGUAGCAGGCCCUAGACAGGGUAUGCAAUGCAGGUGGCGAGAGAACUGGCUGGAUUUGCCAAUGGGAAAAGGCAGAGACGAUGGCAAUGAUGCAUGGGCAUGGGGGAGAGAGAGGGAGAGGGAAGGGAGAGCUGCUGUGCUGGGAGCAAGAGGCCCGGCCGGUACGUACGGUGGUCACUGGUCCGUGUGUGUGAUUUGACGUAGGAGGCGAGGGGAGGGGAGUGCAAUGAGAAGAGAAUAGCCUUUGUUGUUUUCUUGAGCUUUUCUUAGUUCCAAAAAUUUUUGGAAAAUUGACACUGUAACACUUUCGUUUGUAUUUGACAAAUAUUGUCCAAUCAUGGACUAACCAGGCUUAAAAGAUUCGUCUCG